GACAGGAAGUGGAAGACAGCCCGUCAGACACCAUCUGGGGGCCCAGGCCCCAAAAGAGAGAGGCAUGGAAGUGCCUCCCAGGGAAACAAUUAGGGUGGCCCUGUUUAUAGAGUAGAAAUUCCAACCUAACAGGACCUGGGAUUUGUGCUUUAGCAGCAACUUGGAGGGACUACCAUCAACCCCACUGCUGGGAGCCCUCACCACACUUUGAGUAGUCUCAGUGAAGGGCCCCAAGGUUAUGUGGCCUCCAGGCUUAAGGGAUGGUGACCUCAAUGCCUCCACAGGUGGCUGGAAGCCACAAGAGGAGAUAGUCGCAUGCCUCAGGGGUUAACCUCAGAGCCCUCCUGUCAGGAUCCUCUAGGGGGGUACCCAGCAGACUCCUUAGCCCCACACCCUACUUGCAGGGCUGAGAGGUACCCGAAGUCCUCUGAAGGGUCCCCUGUAGAGGCAGACAAAAUGGAACAUAAAGGAAAAGAGAAGAACAGAGGAACAGAAAGAGAACGGUGCAGGCUAAGCACAGGGCUGAGGACAGAUGAGGAGCCCAAGGGUAGACCAUGGGAGGGCAGGCAGAAAGAAGGGCAGAGAACAGAGAGGAGAUGACAGAGCAGGGAACAAGAACGAGGGGCAAGGGGGCAAUGACAGGUAUGACCAGUGGCUGCCCCACAGAGGCUGCUUCUCCCAGAACCCCCAGUACUCCCCUGGCACUGUAAGAGUAGAGCUGGGAACUCAACUCACUGACCGGUCCUCUGAGUCAUGGCCUCACCCACAGCACCACCUAGUAAGAAGGUGGGGGACUGCUGCCCCUCCAGAGAGGAGCUGGUUCAAUGCCCGCUCCCACCCACCCAUCUGCUCUGGCUACUGGACGGGAGCAGGGAGGAGAAGGAGAACCAGUGUGGGAGCACACAGGGCAUUGAUCCAGGGGCAGGUGGGAGCUGCUCAAGCAGAGAACUGGGGCCCAACUGGUGACACCUCCUGGUGAGGGUUAAUGGCAAGGGACACAGGCUGGUCACGCUCCAUUUGCUGACCUAUGUCCAUCUCGCUGGCCAUUAUCUACCCAGAAGAGAGGAGACAAACAUGCUCCCCACAGCCCCACUGGAAGGGCCCAACCAGCUGUCAACUUCUUAGAGGAUCAUACAAACUAUGGGGCAGCUGUCUGCUGACACAGCACAUCAUCUGUGUAAGGUACACCAUCUUUUAACAUAAGGGCAAAGGACGCUGCUAAAGCUUUUACCAGCUCUGCCAGAAAAACACUAGCAACACAUGAGACCUGGAAUCCCAGAGCCUGACUUCUUAGAUACAGAAAACCAUGGCCAUUGGUCCCAGAGAGCCCCUUGACUAUCCUCAGCCCAUGCAGCUGCUUCCAGGGGAGUUCCAAGAGGUUGGUAGAGGUGACGGAGUUGAAGGAGUUCAGGGACAGGCUGUCUGAGCCAUGGACUGAGCUGGGAAGGCGGUCUUCAAAGUCCAGCAGUUUUUGGCCGGGGCCAGUUUUGAACCCACCACCUCCAGUAUAUGGGGCCAGCGCCCUACUCCUUGAGCCACAGGUGCUGCCCUUGUUAUGACUUUCUAAAUGAGUUAUGGUUAUGAAUUUCCUUAUUAAAAUGAGAAAAAUGUUUCACUUGAAGAAAAAAUAUAUAUACACACACAUGUCCCAGCCUGCAAGCACAACUACCAUCUUCCAUGCCAAAUUACUCUUCAGUUUCAUUCAGUACCUGCUGGUAAAGCUAAUGCCAACCAUGAUUACAGCCAUCAUUUAUUUUUAUUUAUUUAUUUAUUUAAUUUAUUUUUAGAGACAGAGUCUCGCUUUAUCGCCCUAGGUAGCAUGUCGUGGUGUCACAGCUCACAGCAACCUCCAACUCCUGGGCUUAGGUGAUUCUCCUGCCUCAGUCUCCUGAGUAGCU